rnacentral:rRNA from 1 species
AGGGGAUCGCAAGACCUUGCGCUCAUGGAGCGGCCGAUAUCUGAUUAGCUAGUUGGUAGGGUAAAAGCCUACCAAGGCGACGAUCAGUAGCUGGUCUGAGAGGACGACCAGCCACACUGGGACUGAGACACGGCCCAGACUCCUACGGGAGGCAGCAGUGGGGAAUUUUGGACAAUGGGGGCAACCCUGAUCCAGCAAUGCCGCGUGUGUGAAGAAGGCCUUCGGGUUGUAAAGCACUUUUGUCAGGAAAGAAACGGUCUGGGCUAAUACCCUGGGCUAAUGACGGUACCUGAAGAAUAAGCACCGGCUAACUACGUGCCAGCAGCCGCGGUAAUACGUAGGGUGCAAGCGUUAAUCGGAAUUACUGGGCGUAAAGCGUGCGCAGGCGGUUAUGUAAGACAGAUGUGAAAUGCCCGGGCUCAACCUGGGAACUGCGUUUGAAACUUAC